AAAUAAAAAUAAAAUAAAGGUAUCCAUGCUUGAGUUCUUAAAUAACAUCUCCUAUCCAUGUAUAAGAACUGUGUUUUGAAGCAUAUUUGAAUGCCAAAUGUUUGUUGAAAUGUCUGAUAGAAAAUCUAAUAGCCUAUGUGCAAAUAAAUUUUAGCUACUACACAUUGCCAAACUAAUUGGGCUAACUUUAAAACAAUUCAUUAUUAUUGUCUCUUUUACCUUCCACAAACUUUUAUGCUUAAAGCUUUAACAUAAUAUGUAAUUCAUAUCUGAUUAUUUUAAGAAUUCCAUUAACUUCAAACACACAGCAUGGUCAAAAUAUAAGCUAUUUUGAUAAGAAUCUACCCCAGAGUGAGUAGAUUCUAUGAGAAAUACCUAAUUCGAGGCAACUGGCCUCCAAGAAUGAGAAAUAAGAUUUAGAGAGAAUAGAGAAGAUCAGGAGACAAACUGUUGCUUAUUUCAUUCAAUGGUCCUUACAAUCACCACUCUAGCAAACCACUUAUAUCCAUUUUUCUUGAGGAUUCAAAGCUAUUCCAAGUAAAGCCAUGUAUGUUGCAUUCUAACAACCUAUCUAACUAACUAACUGAUAGCAACUAACAGGUGUUAACAGCUUCUAUGGUAAACGACUAACAAUUCCCUAACUCUAAUGCAACGGCUUAGGACAGGUGUAUGCUAGGCAACAUCAACAAUAAUAGCUAUGGCAGCAACUCAACUUCAGCAGUAACAUCACAGGAUUUAUGAUGGCUGAACCAAUGCUCAUGGUUGGUGGCAAUAAUGCUCAACUUAAGUUGCUGCAUAGCUGAUGUUGGUACUGCUUUUGGAGGCUUAAGUAGCUACAUAAUUGCUGGUGUUGUUGUUGGAGGCGUAAUGGAUGCUUUGAUUGAUUUGGGAUAGCCAAAGAAAUUUUUGCGGAUUCUUUUCCAAAUUUUUUUGAAACAUAGUGAUGCAGCGGAUUUAUAAAGACCAAUGGACUUAAAUGACUUCAUAAGUCAUCUAUUCAAGAUGUCAACUGUGAUAUAAUGUAUGCGAAGAUCUUGGACAUAACAAAUUAUAAUUGAACUGAACGAUCUCUUACACCUAUCUCCAUUCAAUUUAGGAGAUACUAUUGGAACAAUUUAUUCUUUUAUGUUGUAUUGUAUUUAGUAGAAUUUCAUGGACAAUGAUUGUGAAUUGAUAUUGUAUGUGUAGUAUCUAAUAGUGAUUUUUUAAAUUAUAUAAUUAAUAGCACUGUAAUGAGAAACUUGGUAUAA